GCGGCUAUGGUCCAGUGGCAAGAUCUCAGCCCCCCAAGCUGAUGACCCGGGUUCGAAUCCCGGUAGCCGCA
rnacentral:tRNA from 1 species